AACGAACGCUGGCGGCAGGCCUAACACAUGCAAGUCGAGCGCGCCUUCGGGUGAGCGGCGGACGGGUGAGUAACACGUGGGAAUAUGCCUUUCGGUGCGGAAUAGUCUUGGGAAACUGAGGGUAAUACCGCAUACGCCCCUUGGGGGAAAGAUUUAUCGCCGAAAGAUUAGCCCGCGUUGGAUUAGGUAGUUGGUGGGGUAAUGGCCUACCAAGCCGACGAUCCAUAGCUGGUUUGAGAGGAUGAUCAGCCACACUGGGACUGAGACACGGCCCAGACUCCUACGGGAGGCAGCAGUGGGGAAUCUUAGACAAUGGGGGCAACCCUGAUCUAGCCAUGCCGCGUGAGUGAUGAAGGCCUUAGGGUUGUAAAGCUCUUUCAGCUGGGAAGAUAAUGACGUACCAGCAGAGAGCCCC
rnacentral:rRNA from 1 species